UACACUCCUACGGGAGGCAGCAGUGGGGAAUUUUGGACAAUGGGCGAAAGCCUGAUCCAGCCAUGCCGCGUGCAGGAUGAAGGCCUUCGGGUUGUAAACUGCUUUUGUACGGAACGAAACGGCCUUUUCUAAUAAAGAGGGCUAAUGACGGUACCGUAAGAAUAAGCACCGGCUAACUACGUGCCAGCAGCCGCGGUAAUACGUAGGGUGCAAGCGUUAAUCGGAAUUACUGGGCGUAAAGCGUGCGCAGGCGGUUAUGUAAGACAGUUGUGAAAUCCCCGGGCUCAACCUGGGAACUGCAUCUGUGACUGCAUAGCUAGAGUACGGUAGAGGGGGAUGGAAUUCCGCGUGUAGCAGUGAAAUGCGUAGAUAUGCGGAGGAACACCGAUGGCGAAGGCAAUCCCCUGGACCUGUACUGACGCUCAUGCACGAAAGCGUGGGGAGCAAACAGGAUUAGAAACCCCAGUAGUCCCAUGAU
rnacentral:rRNA from 1 species